AGUCUUAUAGUCAAUAAUGAUAUAAAAUUGCAAAUUUUAAGGAGUAAUUAUAAAUACUAAGGCUU
rnacentral:tRNA from 1 species